rnacentral:rRNA from 1 species
UACGGGGGGGUGCGAGCGUUGUCCGGAAUCACUGGGCGUAAAGGGCGCGUAGGUGGUUUGAUAAGGGUGUGGUGAAAGUCCGGGGCUCAACCCCGGAUCUGCCGUGCCGACUGUCAAACUCGAGGGCUGUAGAGGCAGACGGAAUUCCGGGUGGUAGCGGUGGAAUGCGUAGAGAGUCCGGAGGAAGACCGGUGGCGAAGGCGGUUCUCUGGGCAUGUCCUGACGCUGAGGAGCGAAAGUGUGGGGAGCGAACAGG